rnacentral:tRNA from 1 species
GGCUAUAGCUCAGUGGCAGAGUGCUUGCCUUGCACACAUGAGGUACUAGGUUUGAUUCUUAGCAUGCCU